rnacentral:lncRNA from 1 species
CUAAUUUUCUCUCAUUUCUUUCACUUCCUAUGGGAAAGACCAAGUGAUUUCUGGAACUCAUAGUCACAUAUUACAAUCUCUUUAUACCUCUACAUAUUUGUUCUUUGUAAGAUAGAACCUAAAUUUGAGUCCACUUUCACACCGCAUAGGUGACAGAAAGGUGAUGGUAUAUUUUUAGGGGAAAUGGCAGAAACACGUACUUGUGAAAUUCCCCCAGUUGUUCAAAUCUCAAAAAGGAACUGGACAUAUUCCCACAUCCUAACUCCCAAAUGUGAUGGUAUUAGGAGGUGGGACCUUUGGGUAUAAUUGGGUCAUGAAGGCAGGGUCUUCAUGAAUGGGAUUAGUCCUUUUAUAAAAGAAACUCUGUAGAGUUCCUUCAUUCCUUCCACCGUGUGAGAUCAUACCCAGAAGAUUACUGUCUGUGAACCAGAAAGUGGGCUCUCACCAUACACCAAAUCUGCUGCCAACUUGAUCUUGGCUUUCGCAGCUUGCAGAGCUUGGGAGAAAUGCAAAACUGGUUUCCAGAAAUCUCAUAAGGAGUGGAUGAUAUGGCAUCAAUAGAAAACAUGUUAACAGAGGCUGUUUAUAUUCCUUGGCUAAUGGCCCAUUCUUGACAUUAUUCUGAUAUCUGCAACCACCUUCGGAGUCUGCUGCUUUGACCAUACGUCUGUUGUCAUCUUCCCAUCACCUUCUCUGACUGCACCCUUGCUCUUAUGAGGAUCCCUAUGAUUACACUGGACCCACCAAGAUAACCCAAUAUAAUCUCCACACUCAACAUUUUAAAUUUAAUCAUAUCUGCAAAAUCUCUUCCACUGUGUAAGGUAACACAUUCAUAGAUUCUAGGGAUUAGGACAUGGACAUCUUUAGGUGGCCAUUAUUCUAUUUAUCACAAUUUCCUAUUCAAUUUCCUAUCAAAGGUUUGAAGUAAUAUUAAAAACAACACAAAAAUAUGCCAAUAUAAAAAUACAAAAUAUAAAUUCUAGAAAUUUGAGUGUAAUUCCCAC